GCUGCUCUUGAAUGCUUUUAAUGAUGUUGCGGCUCUGUAUCGUAGCUUUUAAUUUUUAUUUACAACUUUUAGGUAAAUUUUAGAGCUUGAAAAAAUAAAUACUGUAAUGAAGAAAUUAAACGUUAUAAAUUGAACACAUAUCGAAAAUUAUGCGAGUUUAUGUCAGAAGGGAACGACCAGUGACAAUAACUACGAAAAUUAAAUGGAUGUUAAUGAAAAAGUAACAAAGAAGCUAUUAACUUUGUCAUUAACUGUGAAUUCGCCAUUGUUUACAUUUCUACCCCCCUUUGAAUAAUGGAAUAGGGAUUUGUCUUUCAUAUUCUUGAGGCAUGUUAGUUUCAAAAUGUUCCAAAGAGGAGAUCUUGUUUGGGGUAAAAUGAAAACUUACCCAUGGUGGCCAGCAAUUAUUCUAGAUGCCAAAGAUUGUGGAAAAAAACAGUCAAAAAAUAAAAUGUGGCUUUUUUGGUUUGGAGAUAAUAAAAUUUCAGAACUUGAAUGUGAACGAAUUGUGACUUUUGAAGAUAAUUACCUUGAAAAUACAUCCAAAAGAUCCGGAAAUCUUUUCAAGACUGCAGUACAAGAAAUUCUGAAGGU